ACAGCAGUCGCCACGGUAAUACGUAGGUGGCAAGCGUUGUCCGGAAUUAUUGGGCGUAAAGGGCUCGCAGGCGGUUUCUUAAGUCUGAUGUGAGAGCCCCCGGCUCAACCGGGGAGGGUCAUUGGAAACUGGGAAACUUGAGUGCAGAAGAGGAGAGUGGAAUUCCACGUGUAGCGGUGAAAUGCGUAGAGAUGUGGAGGAACACCAGUGGCGAAGGCGACUCUCUGGUCUGUAACUGACGCUGAGGAGCGAAAGCGUGGGGAGCGAACAGGAUUAGAUACCCGCGUAGUCCCUGUCUCUUAUAC
rnacentral:rRNA from 1 species